UACGGGGGGAGCAAGCGUUGUUCGGAUUUACUGGGCGUAAAGGGCGCGUAGGCGGCCAGCGCAAGUCAGUUGUGAAAUCUCCGAGCUUAACUCGGAAAGGUCAACUGAUACUGCGCGGCUAGAGUGCGGAAGGGGCAACUGGAAUUCUUGGUGUAGCGGUGAAAUGCGUAGAUAUCAAGAGGAACACCUGCGGCGAAGGCGGGUUGCUGGGCCGACACUGACGCUGAGGCGCGAAAGCGUGGGGAGCAAACAGG
rnacentral:rRNA from 1 species